AAGACAAUGGCGAAGUUUUCAGUGGCACUUUUUUCUUGAAUCCAAUUUCAUUCGCCGUUCGGAUUCCACCGGAUUUAUAUUUACCGGAUUUCCUUCGACUAGACGAUUAAACCAUGUCCCCUCUGCUGGAAGGACAAACGAAUCUUCCAAACACUUUCUCGUCGUCAGCUAGCAACAACGGGUUGGUGUUCCUGCUUGUGCUCAGGAAAACAUUGUCGGAAUAGAAAUAGGAGCGGCCACUCAUAGAAGAAAACUGGUAGCGAUUCCUCCUCCAUUAAGCCAAUACGACACAUCCCGACGCUAACCACCGGAAACCGCGAUGACCAAAGUUUCCGGAACAAAGUUCAUCGACAGCGGUGAUUGAGCAUCGCUGCGUCCCGGAGCGUGGAGAAGAGGAAGUUGAACGGAAAGCUAUUGCGGUUCUGAUAGAGUACGACGAAGACUUGGACUGUGAAGAUCGUUUCUGUAGCAAAUGAUUGACUUCAUGGGGUGCUUCCACUGGCUUGCCGGAAGGGUCAUAUGUUUUGUUUUAUUAUCGGCCUUUUCGGAACUUUUGCGACUAUUCCUGCUAGCGAGUAUCAAAAAGAAAAAAAAAUGAGAAAAUGACAGGAAAAAAGCAGGAAUCUGCGUUCAAUUCAAUGCAUGUUCAACUUCGAACGUCAACAUUUGGACUGCCAGUAAUCAAAACAACUCUACGGCAAAAGCUGAUCAAGCCGGAUUCAGGAUUUUGAUGCUGUCCAAUCGACCAGAGGGCGGAAAUUGUAAAAAUUCUUACUUCUACGGAUUAUUUUUUUCUGGGAUUUUCAUCCUGUUGGAUGAUUCAUCGCUACACUUACUUCUACGGACAGAUUUCAAGAUGAAAAAAUCUGACUGCGAGGAUUGAAACCAUAUCUUCUCCCGAGAAUGUCAGAUUCGUUCUGGAUCCGGUUCUCCCCGGCGAAUGGGGUUUGCUGCAAUCUAUGCCUGGCUACAUUCGAGUUUUUUUUAAUUUCCGGUGAUUGCACUGAACAAUCAGUAGUCUCUUCAGUUUGCUGCUUCGAAGAUGACUUACCGUUGACUCCAAAAAUCAUUGCCGUAUUCGAUUACCCAUCAUCUACGGAUCUCAAUAUAUACCAAACGCGAAACGAUUUUGAAAUCCUCCUCAUAAAAUAAUGCGACGUAUUCUGUAGCAGGAGAUCGGUCCACAGCGAUCCCAGACGGUGGAUGGUCUCGUCAAUAUCGAACUGAUCGGUUGGGUUCGGAUGGGCACAACAGUGGCGACCAAUGGAAAACAUUGUGAGUAGUGUUCCUCCCCAUAAAUACGGCAAUCAAUAAAAAUGUACGCAAAUAAAUAAGCUGCUC